AAGCUUGAAAUUCAAACAAUCUAUCAAAUGUUUAUAUCGUUAUACAUCAGUUUACAGGCUAGCUUCCUGGUACGUAUGAAUGACAAGACUCAAAUUGGACAUAGAAGACGGUUUCCAUGUUCUAAGGUAUGA